ensembl:lncRNA
AUGACCGACAUCCUCACUGCCUUGCACGCAUGCCACUGUCGGUGCCACAGGGCGAUUCUCCGCCUGAAGGCAGUGGUUCCACCGUGCCCCUGCGAUCCCUCCCCGCGUGCCAUCGCCUGCUCGGACAGGAGGUGGCAGCAGAUGGCUGCCUUUAGCAUCCAGAGGACCCAGGAGCAGCUCUCGGAGACACCCAGAAGAGAUUCACACGGCUGUCUGUCAGAAGUCUCAGAAACCAGAGAGCAGCUUCCAUCUACUCAUCUCAGACAAAACAGACCUACUUUCUAGGAGAGAGCUGUAAGAAACAAGAUGGAUCCUAGAAAGCAGUACUGACUGAAAACUCAAGUCACUAACACUAUUCCCAGUGUCCUGAGAUGAUCAUCUGCAUUCACCUCCUGGUCUGUUUUUAAAAGUGUCCAGCAUGAAAAAUUGUGUAAUUUUGUUCUGAAAUUGAUUAAAUAUUAACUCCUUUUACUCUCAGGAAACACUCUCAUCUAUUCCUCAACCACAUUUUCUGUUUCAGGGUUGAACAAAGACUUUUGGCCUUAUCCACAUGCAACAUGAAUGUUUUUCUUUUCAGCACCUGUGUAUAUUUUUUUGAAGACUAUUCACAGUACCCUGGCUCUUCAUUUACAGAAAAACUCUCAGAAGUUAGAGACAACUUGAUAUAACAGCAACUCAGAUUUGUUCAACUUCAUUAACUUUCUUAGAGCAUUUCAGGCAUUACAAAUAAAAGGAAGCAAAUCUCCAGCCUUCCUGCUCUGUAGAAGCAACAGAAACCAGAAGACAAAGCAAACCACACUUUUGGGUUCUUUCUUUUUAAACCAGAUGUACAAUCUAUUUAUUGAAGAUGGUAUCAGAGUGGAAGACAGACUUGCCUGCUUUACAGGUUACUAUGGAGACAUUCUUCCCUUCAUUAUUCUGUAAACAGACCGUAUUACACAGAAGUGAGAAGUUCUUUCUUUUGGCCAUUCAGAAACUGCCCAUGAUCAGAGUGUUUCACAUGCUAUGAACUUACAAACAUCUCCAGGGAAUUGCUUUGUUUCAGAUCAAGUGUGGUCAAGGGGAACUAGGCUGACCUUGGUCAAAAGAUACACAUAGUUCUUCUGCUGAAGUCUCAUCAGAGAACUGACGGCUUCCCUUCCUGCUGAGUUCCCAAAAGCUUUGACAUGCAUCCCCAGAAUAACACAGAAAAAUCCCAUCAGGCACUCUUCUCUUCAAGCAUGUUUCUAAGGAAUCAUUGUAAGUUACUUUGCAACGUUUCAGAAGAGGACAACCAGUAAUAUCAAACAAUUGAUAACAAUUGCACUGUCUAUUGAUUCCCAACAGCCUUUAGGUCACAUCAACAUUAUUUCUUCUUUUAGAUAAAUACAAGUAACUGGCAGCCUAUAACCUCUUCUAUAGUCAAUACUAUAGGAUCACCAUGACAUGUUAUCUGUGCAUCUCUAAAAAUUUCAAUCUUUUUAUUUCACCAACACCCUCUAAAUGCCCAAAGUGUGUAGCGCCUGUAAACUUUGGACCUUAACAUUGCUUCCUCUACACAAACUUCUUGACUGCUCACUAUAGCUUGCAGAAAUCAGAGGAAUUGUCAACUAUUUCUACUUCUUAUGCUACACGUAUUACUGUACAUUUCCCUAGAAGUAGGACAGUCAAAGCUGUAAUAGGUUAAGUUACAAACUGAAUGAGAAACAGAUAAAGAAUCAGCAAGACUUAAGUAGAAGCACAACAGUUGACAACGCUGUGAAAGUGACUCUGGCAUAAAACACUGGCUUAAUCAACCAAGAUUCACAUUACAAGCCACAUACCCAGAAGCCUUGUUUGAUGAUCUUUUUUGGAGGAAUGACCACAAACAGGGCUGCCUGUUUCUUAACCAGGUACCACUCCUGUCAAAGAAGCACAAAACCUAGGCAUUUUUGGCCAUCAGAACUGCUAAAACCAUCAAGCUGACCACCACCAACAGGAAGAGGUCUCCAUCAGACACCAUGUAUCUGCAAACCUGUCACACUUCAAGGCAGGAACAGCAAGCGGGGCAGGGAUCUGAGUCAACUGAAAUGAACUCUGCCAGACUGAAUCCACAAACAUUUGAGGGCUGAGAGCUGUAAGUAUUUCCCCAGCGCACAGUAAUAUCAGUGCCAACAAAACCUUGUGCAAAGCCUCACAGACUUCGCCUGUCUCCAUCCCAGGGCACCGAAGCGAGAAAGAGUCCAGCACAGAUAGCCUACAGCCUCUGAUGAUAGGGCUUGAGGAUAUAGAUUAAACACACAUAAAUGCCUCUUCACAAAAUAAUCCUACCUUCUUCCCUCUCAAGAUGAGAGAGUUUCUUUUACUUUGCAAAACUGCAGUUAUUCCAAUGAAAUUUUUUCUUACAUGGAAAUGUGGAUGAUUACCAGAAAAACAAAUAAUUGGGAUGGAGCCCAGUUGGAUAUCACUGAGGGAACUAAGCAAGUAUGCCUUGUGGAGGAGGAGAAGAGAGUUACGCAGUUAGGAACUCUCUGUUGUCACAUUUAGGCUAAACAUGACAAGCAUGAGCUGCUUGUCUUCCUGCUACCAAUCCCAAACUAACCACUUACAGUCAGGAAAAAUUGACAUCCAGGUUUUCUCAGGGAAGAGGUUUAAGAAUAUGACUCAGGAAGUUACUUGGAUAUACCUCUUUUCCUGCCCACAUUUUUUUUUUUUUAUUUUUUAAAUAUUCCAUCAUAUUUUUCAGAAUUUAAACCUGGGCUAGAAUCAUUUCUUGAACUGCAUUUUUAUCUCUUUGGAUUAAAUUUGGAUUAGUCACCUCCUAGGGGAGAUGAGAUAUGUGGUAUACUCUGUUUUCACAAUGGAGUUUACCCUCAUCCUCACUGGCCACAGUAAGCAAAUACUGCAGCAACCUACAGCUCAGAAAUGAGACCCUCUCAGGUCAAUCCUCACAUUCUUCAUUUAAGUAAGCAAAACAGAUGAAGGUGAAGUUAGGAUGAAUGUGUAUUUUCUAUUCCCAUAUAAAGACAGUUUCUUCCAUAUGAGCACACAUGAAAUAUUUUGACCAUCAGGAGCUGAGAAAGGACCAAAAUCUAACUCAUCUGCUGGCUGGUCCAGGUCUUUGCCCUAUCUACAAUGCCCUGAGAAGUAACUUCAUUACCCAACAUCUUAUUUCCAUCUUUCUCACAAGUUUCCCUAUAAUUGUCUCCUUCUCACAGUGCUAAAGUAUGAUGGGUCAGGACUUUAAAAACAUUCCCCAGAUGGUUUUGUGAAUAUUAGAACCAUUGACAGCCAGAGCUUAAUGUCAGUAAAAUACAGACUCCUAAGUCUUAGUUCUGCCAGGAAGAAGAGAGGAGGGUAAUAAAGAAAGCAGCAGCUACGUUCAACAGGCACAUUAUUCUUACUCAAUACUGCCAGGAAGCACUUUGGGAUCCUGCAGUCUCUCAUAGAUCCAACCAUACAGAAUUGAAUCUUCCAGGAUGAGAAAGUAGCCUGUGGUCUGCUGCCACAGUCUGCUCCAACAUCUCAGAACUUCAGGUUGCUGGUAACACGCUCCUGAGCUACUGACACUACUUUAUAUCCAGCUCUUCCCAACACCCAGAUACACACUCAAGCCAACACUGAAAUAACUUGUACUCAUUAGAAAUUGUCAGAGAAGCCUCUAAGAAAAAGCAAGAGUUAAGAUCAAAAACUUGAUCACUUUUCUCUGAUCUCAGCCCAGCAGCUUAACUCUAGGAUUCUUCAUGCACCAAAGGCUCAGGACACCAAGCACAAAUCAGUGGUUUUGCAGGUAAUAAAUAACAUGAGCAUGCACGAGAAGAACAGAUGCUUGUGGUCCUAAGGGUGGGAUUGACCAAAGAGAGCUAUGAAUAAGCCAGAACUGCUAGAUGCAACUCAGAUACCCAUGCCCCUGCUGGCCCGUAGUGAUAGAUUUCUUGCCUCAAUUCCAAUUUGCCUCAGAUACAGAUUGCAUCUUUUCCACUAAAGCCAAAACCCUGAGAGCCUCAGGGAAGAAGAACCGAGGACAUCCAUCAGAGCCAACACUGAGAAAACACCGUGAAUUAUUCAUAACACUCAAAUAGCAAAAUUAAAAUUAAACUACCUUACAAGACAACGGGAGAUAUGCUAACAGUGAAGAAAUUCCAGGGCUGCCUUCGUGUGCUG